rnacentral:rRNA from 2 species
GAAUGCGAUAAGUAAUGUGAAUUGCAGAAUUCAGUGAAUCAUCGAAUCUUUGAACGCACAUUGCGCUCCCUGGUAUUCCGGGGAGCAUGCCCGUUUCAGA